UACGGGGGGAGCAAGCGUUGUUCGGAUUUACUGGGCGUAAAGGGCGCGUAGGCGGCCACCGCAAGUCAAUUGGGAAAUCUCCGGGCUUAACUCGGAAAGGUCAACUGAUACUGCGGGGCUAGAGUGCGGAAGGGGCAACUGGAAUUCUUGGUGUAGCGGUGAAAUGCGUAGAUAUCAAGAGGAACACCUGCGGUGAAGACGGGUUGCUGGGCCGACACUGACGCUGAGGCGCGAAAGCCAGGGGAGCAAACGGG
rnacentral:rRNA from 1 species